rnacentral:rRNA from 1 species
CCUACGGGUGGCAGCAGUGGGGAAUAUUGCACAAUGGGGGGAACCCUGAUGCAGCGACGCCGCGUGAGUGAAGAAGUAUUUCGGUAUGUAAAGCUCUAUCAGCAGGGAAGAAAAUGACGGUACCUGACUAAGAAGCCCCGGCUAACUACGUGCCAGCAGCCGCGGUAAUACGUAGGUGGCAAGCGUUAUCCGGAUUUACUGGGUGUAAAGGGCGUGUAGGCGGGAUAGCAAGUCAGAUGUGAAAACCCUGGGCUCAACCUGUGGCCUGCAUUUGAUACUGGUAUUCUUGAGUACUGUAGAGGCAGACAGAAUUCCUAGUGUAGCGGUGAAAUGCGUAGAUAUUAGGAGGAACACCAGUGGCGAAGGCGGUCUGCUGGACAGCAACUGACGCUGAGGUGCGAAAGCGUGGGGAGCAAACAGGAUUAGAUACCCCUGUAGUC